UUGGGUUUAUUGAACUGGAUUAGUACCCAGGUAAUCAAAAUUAAUUAAUUCGGGAGUAAAGUUUUGUUUAAACCGAAAAAAUAUUGACUGACUCUGGAUUUCUUUUUGGAAUAUGUGUAUGGAGAGCCCUCUUUWAUAGUAAAUCUUUUUUUGCACAUGUAUGAUUGUUUAGUUUUUAUUUURUUUUGUAAUGCUUUUUUUUUARAUUAAAAACAGAUAUAUAYUUGGCUUAUGGGUUUAUUAAUC
rnacentral:rRNA from 1 species